rnacentral:rRNA from 1 species
UACGGAAGGCAGCAGUGGGGAAUAUUGCACAAUGGGCGCAAGCCUGAUGCAGCCAUGCCGCGUGUAUGAAGAAGGGCCUUCGGGUUGUAAAGUACUUUCAGUCGUGAGGAAGGUGUUAAGGUUAAUAACCUUAGCAAUUGACGUUAGCGACAGAAGAAGCACCGGCUAACUCCGUGCCAGCAGCCGCGGUAAUACGGAGGGUGCGAGCGUUAAUCGGAAUUACUGGGCGUAAAGGGCACGCAGGCGGUUAAUAAGUUGGAUGUGAAAUCCCCGGGCUUAACCUGGGAAUGGCAUUCAAGACUGGUUAGCUAGAGUCUUGUAGAGGGGGUAGAAUUCCAUGUGUAGCGGUGAAAUGCGUAGAGAUGUGGAGGAAUACCGGUGGCGAAGGCGGCCCCUGGGCAAAGACUGACGCUCAUGUGCGAAAGCGUGGGGAGCAAACAGGAUUAGAUACC